AUGACCUUUAAAGUUAGUCCCGUGAGGCUAGGAAGGAAAUCUGCGUUUUGUGAGUAGUUUUCUCAACUACCGCCUUAUUUCGCAAAGACCAUCUUGGACUUAACUUUAGAGUUUGAGAUGGUCUUUUUU
rfam:Lactobacillus hominis DSM 23910 = CRBIP 24.179, type strain:CRBIP 24.179, WGS project CAKE01000000 data, contig: 8